rnacentral:rRNA from 1 species
UGGGGAAUAUUGGGCAAUGGGCGCAAGCCUGACCCAGCAACGCCGCGUGAGGGAAGAAGGCCUUCGGGUUGUAAACCUCUGUCCUAUGGGAAGAAAAAAAGUGACGGUACCAUAGGAGGAAGCUCCGACUAACUACGUGCCAGCAGCCGCGGUAAUACGUAGGGAGCGAGCGUUGUCCGGAAUUACUGGGCGUAAAGGGUGCGUAGGCGGUUAUUUAAGUCAGAUGUGAAAUACUUGAGCUUAACUCAGGGGCUGCAUCUGAUACUGGGUGACUAGAGUGCAGGAGAGGAAAGUGGAAUUCCUAGUGUAGCGGUGGAAUGCGUAGAUAUUAGGAGGAACACCAGUGGCGAAGGCGACUUUCUGGACUGUAACUGACGCUGAGGCACGAAAGUAUGGGUAGCAAACAGGAUUAGAUACC